rnacentral:rRNA from 1 species
CCGGGGUUGUAAAGCUCUUUUUGUCAGGGAAGAAACGGUGGACUCUAAUACAGAUCACUAAUGACGGUACCUGAAGAAUAAGCACCGGCUAACUACGUGC